rnacentral:rRNA from 1 species
CGAGGACUUCGGUUCUAGCGGCGGACGGGUGAGUAACGCGUGGGAAUGUGCCCUUCUCUACGGAAUAGCCCUGGGAAACUGGGAGUAAUACCGUAUACGCCCUAUUGGGGAAAGAUUUAUCGGAGAAGGAUCAGCCCGCGUUGGAUUAGGUAGUUGGUGGGGUAAUGGCCUACCAAGCCGACGAUCCAUAGCUGGUUUGAGAGGAUGAUCAGCCACACUGGGACUGAGACACGGCCCAG